AACGCGAAGAACCUUACCUGGGUUUGACAUGCACCAGACAUCCCUAGAGAUAGGGCUUCCCUUGUGGUUGGUGUGCAGGUGGUGCAUGGUUGUCGUCAGCUCGUGUCGUGAGAUGUUGGGUUAAGUCCCGCAACGAGCGCAACCCUUGUUCCCCAUGUUGCCAGCGGGUUAUGCCGGGGACUCGUGGGGGACUGCCGGGGUCCUCGGAGGAAGGUGGGGAUGACGUCAAAUCAUCAUGCCCCUUAUGUCCAGGGCUUCACACAUGCUACAAUGGCCAGUACAGAGGGCUGCGAGACCGUGAGGUGGAGCGAAUCUCUUAAAGCUGGUCUCAGUUCGGAUUGGGGUCUGCAACUCGACCCCAUGAAGUUGGAGUCGCUAGUAAUCGCAGAUCAGCAACGCUGCGGUGAAUACGUUCCCGGGCCUUGUACACACC
rnacentral:rRNA from 1 species